UUUAUUUGCAGCAGUGUCAUAUUGAUUGUUGCGUGAUGGAUCUAGUAGCACAUGGAUCCACCACGUUUAAUCUUGGUCUUGUGUUCUCUGUGAUGAACUUGCAUGGGCUACCUUGAUCGAUUUGUGUCCACAAAAAGGCUAGCACAAUUUAGGCCCUCAGAUUGUUUGUUGGGAUUUGACUACAAGCUGGACAAAGUUUUAUCUGCAUUAAGGCUACCUUUCAGCUCUCUGAUAAAAUAAGCUGCAGUUUAUUUUGUUUGCACUGACAGGUGAAAUCCCUUUGUAUAGACAUGCUUUAUUUCCAAGUUCUCAGCAUAGAUUGAAUUUUUUUGGGCAGAUUUGUACAAGAACUUUUUGGAUGUCCGGAUCGUCCUUUGCUGAAAAUUGAUGAAGGACUUUAUCUUUUUACAAAGAACUUUGUUUCUACAAAGCGGUCUCUUUGUAUAAAUUGCUGAAGAACUUUAUUGUUGUAUGUAAAAGAGAAUGCUUUUUCUUGCCAUAUUGAUGUUAAUAGAACUUUAUGUUUAACUAGCUGGCAGUUUGUAUGAAUCCUUGAAUAACUUUGUGUACAUGUGAAUUUGAAGGUUAUGAAAAUAGUACAAAACUUUAUGAAGGCAAUUUAUGGACUUUAUCACAAGUUCAGUAGAACUUUUCUGAUUUUUUGCCCCUUUGUCGACUCUGCUAGAAAGUGGCAUUUUUAUGAAUGUUACUACUACCAUUUUUUGUGACUUAUGAAUUUCCGACCAGAUUAAACAUAUGCGUGUCAGUUCUUUAAAUGUUACAUAAUUUGUAUCUAGACUUGCAUAGAUAAUGAGCAGCGCAUCCCUCGUGACGAAUCUAGAAUUUGCUGCAAUACGGCUUUAUAUACACACAACAGAAUAUCACAUGUCCUGAGAAUACACUGCAUGGCUGAGAACAUGGUGGGGCAGGUUGAUUGGACAGUGCCCUGGAUGGACGGCAAGGAUACAGGUUGUGCGCGCAAUCAGUUAGGAAAAAUCCACUCCCAAGUAGCCUUGGAUCGGACUGGAUUCCGUCACUGUAUCAUCGGCUGGUAGAUUCCAAUUGUUUGAGCCCAAAUGCUUUGGGAUCCAGAUUCGCUCACCGGUCAAGUGGUAGGGGAUGGGAAUCAAUAUCUAGGUCAGGGUGGUCUCCCUGGCAUGGCGAGCGUCGCAAUGCUGGGGAUUCAAAGCGAGCUUUCUUUUCCCCUGAAAAGGAAUUGGUGACUGCCUGACUUUCUCCUCUUCACAUAGGUUCAUGUGGUGCCUCCUGUAGAGAAACGGUGCCACGACGAAUAAGGCAAUGAAGGGCAAUGUGAGCUCAUAGCUAGGAAGGAGGAAGGUAGUGGUGACAAGGAUUCUGUGUGCUUUCUGAACCUGUGGAGUCCAAAUUGAACAUGGUGGCCAGCUAAACCAGAUAUUGGAGACGACAAUAUGCUACAGGUCCAAAAACCCUGGUCUUGUACUUGGGGAAGGGGAUGCGGCCGUGCUCGAUGCUUUCAACGUCGUCGACGAGGAUCUGGAAGUGGCGGCGCACCUGCUGGGCAGACUUGGUGCCCCCCAUGGCGCUGGC